rnacentral:rRNA from 1 species
UACGGGGGGGGCAAGCGUUGUUCGGAAUUACUGGGCGUAAAGGGCUCGUAGGCGGCCAACUAAGUCGGAUGUGAAAUCCCCAGGCUUAACCUGGGAAUUGCAUCCGAUACUGGAUGGCUUGAAUCCGGGAGAGGGAUGCGGAAUUCCAGGUGUAGCGGUGAAAUGCGUAGAUAUCUGGAGGAACACCGGUGGCGAAGGCGGCAUCCUGGACCGGCAUUGACGCCGUGAGGAGCGAAAGCCAGGGGAGCAAACGGG